CAGUAGCCGCGGUAAUACGAAGGGUGCAAGCGUUAAUCGGAAUUACUGGGCGUAAAGCGAGCGCAGGCGGUUCCUUAAGUCUGAUGUGAAAGCCCACGGCUCAACCGUGGAAGGUCAUUGGAAACUGGGGAACUUGAGUGCAGAAGAGGAGAGUGGAAUUCCAUGUGUAGCGGUGAAAUGCGUAGAUAUAUGGAGGAACACCAGUGGCGAAGGCGACUCUCUGGUCUGUAACUGACGCUGAAGCUCGAAAGCGUGGGGAGCAAACAGGAUUAGAUACCCCUGUAGUCCCUGUCUCUUAUAC
rnacentral:rRNA from 1 species